CUCAGAAGUUAUUUCCUAAUGUGCCAGAAAUGUUUGUGAAUUUGGUUUUAUAGCCUAUUUGAUCAUCCUUUUUAGGUGGAGACCUAUUCUGUUGGGUUAGAGAUGACAGAAAAUCUUAUUUGUCGGUUGGUUUGUUUGUUCAAGAAUACACUGACCUUCUACAAGAAAGGAGAGCUCUUUGACACCUGGAAAUUUUACAGAAGCUUGGGACAGCUCUGAAUGGCAACACGGUCCUGAGAUAUGUGAUUACCUGGGACUUUCAUUGGACCUGCAUUUCAGCUCUACUCUCCUCACUGCCCUAUGCUGCUUUGACCCUAAAAGUGAAGCCAGCUUGGCCAGGUGCAGUGACUCACACCUGUAAUCCCAGCACUUUGGGAGGCCGAGGUGGGCAAAUCAAGAAGUCAGGAAAUCGAGACCACCCUGGCCAACAUUGUGAAACACCAUCUCUACUAAAACACAAAAAAAUUAGCCAGGUGUGGUGGCACGCACCUGUAGUCCCAGCUACUCGGGAGGCUGAGGCAGGGGAAUCACUUGAACCCGUGAGGAGGAAAUUGCAGCGAGCCAAGAUCGCGCCACUGCACCCCAGCCUGGGCGACAGAGAGAGACUCCAUCUCAAAAACAAAACAAAACAAAACAAAAAAAACAAAAAGUGAAGCCAACUCAAUUGUCUCAUAGAACUGAUCUUUACGGUGUUUUUAAAUAAACAUAGAAAUUGGCCCUCCCAGUCUUAAAACUUCAAAAACUUACAUUUGUCUUACCUCAGUUCCUUUCUCAGGAAUCCAAUCAUCAAGGCUCCCAGAUAGUAUCAAUGAACGGAAACUUACCAGAUCACGAUAUCUGGACAAUGAGAUGUCAGAUCCCCCUCAUCCAUCCUGAUUACCUAACUGACUACCUGCUUCCUGUUGGCCAACUACUCUUCCUUACCCCUCCCUAAUUCUUGUUUUCCCACAAAUGGUUACAUUUCUGUCCUGCUAUAGAAGCCCUUAAUUUUAAUUGGUCGAGGAGAUGGAUUUGAGACUGAUUUUUUGCUCUCCUUGGCUGUUGCACCUGAAUAGCCUUUUUCCCUGGCAAUACUUUUUGUCUCAGUGAUUGGCUUUCUGUGCAGUGAGCAAUGGGACCAAACUUCUGGUGUUUUGGUAACAAAUUUUGGUUUCCUGACUGUGAAUGCAUUGCUUGUGACUCAGCUGCCAUGAGCUGGGAGAGUUUCAAAAGCCCUCUAAGCAGCUACCUGACCAUUUUGGCCAGAGGUGGAUUUUCGUCUCUCCCCAUUUGGGCCCACUUCUGCCAACCCCAACCAUGUUCCUGAUUGCCUAGGAAGAACAGCCUUUGAAAUUUGACGUCUAUGUACAGAAAGAGUAAAAGACAAGCUUCUGUGGAAAGGGCAACAAACACUAUCACCCUCAGACCAGAGGUGAACAUCCUUUGCAGCAAGGUGAAAGAGAUACAAAACACCCUCUGCCCUUGAAGGAGAGACAGG
rnacentral:lncRNA from 1 species